rnacentral:rRNA from 1 species
AUUGAACGCUGGCGGCAGGCCUAACACAUGCAAGUCGAACGAGUGGCGGACGGGUGAGUAAUGUCUGGGAAACUGCACGAUGGAGGGGGAUAACUACUGGAAACGGUAGCUAAUACCGCAUACCAUCGGAUGUGCCCCGAUGUGCUUAGCUUGUAGGUGAGGUAACGGCUCACCUAGGCGACGAUCCCUAGCUGGUCUGAGAGGAUGACCAGCCACACUGGAAGUGAGACACGGUCGAGACGACUACGGGAGGCAGCAGCGGGUAAUAUUGCACAAUGGGCGCAAGCAUGAUGCAGCCAUGCCGCGUGUAUGAAGAAGGCCUUCGGGUUGUAAAGUACUUUCAGCGGGGAGGCGUUACCCGCAGAAGAAGCACCGGCUAACUCCGUGCCAGCAGCGGCGGUAAUAC